AACAUAACAUGGCAAUUUCCAGGAAUUCGAGUUGUUCAAAAGCUGAAUGAGCUGUCUCUGAAUGUAGGUAGAGUUCUCCAUCUCUAGACAUCUUAAGUGGAGGCAGGGCUACAACUUGUAAAUGGGAAUCUUGUUUCUGUAAUUUGACUGGAAGACCUCCAGAUCUCUUACAACUCUGAAGUUUUCUGAUUCUGUAGCAGUUUUUUAAAUUACACCUCUAGAUCCUACCCUCCCCUUUACAAAGUAACUUCUAAAAUUAAAAUAAUUUGGAGGGAUUUUCUAGCAUUGGUAUAGAAACUAAUAAGAUUUCCAUUUGUUCUAGUCCCCUCAGGCCAAGAAAGGAAAAAAAAAAAGAAAGAAAAGAAGGAAGAGGAAGGAAGGAAGAGUUCCCAUACCACAUGAUGCAGUCCUAAACUGAGUUUAACACUAUCAACAAACAUUUAUUAAGUGCCCAAAUGAACAGAAAUCUAUAAAAAUUGAGAAAUUGAUUAAGGAGGAAAGAGUUUGAUAAGCAUUCUUUGAGCACAUGACAAGGAACUCAGAAGCUUUUGGAACAUGCAGAUAACACUCUGCCAAGCACUAACAAACCUGAUAACAGGUAUGAACAAGUUUUUUUCAUCCAUAACAGAAAAUCAUUUACCUCCAGUUGAAACGGCCAUAUAAGAUGGCUCAAUCCAUGAAUAGAAUCAGAAGAACCUUGAUAGCCACAUCAUUUUAGUCAACAAUAUUUUGACAAAGAAUCAUUAAAUGAAUGGCUGAAUCACAGACUAUCUGUGGAAAUAGAGGGAUCCGUGGUGACAAUUCAAGGCCAAUCUAUUGCCACCAAAAAUUACGGAAGGGAAAUCCUUCAUGAGCCCAGAUCUUGUGAUCAACAUAGAUUAUACAAGGAGCUGGUAAAAGUUGUCUACCACAUUACUUCAUGCUGAAAAAUGUGUCAUAUGCCAAAUACCUAGGCAUGACCUGAUGACUAGUAUUAUUUGUCAGAAGCUUGAUAUCUUUGCAUGGACCAACAAAUGGCCAAUUCCAAUUCUACAACCAUACGUCUCAAAAGCUCCAAAAGAACUAAACCAAUAAAUUCUCUUGGAACCAGACCGUUAUUGCCUACUGAACUGAGAAGCACAAAUUCCUGAAUGUAACAUUAAUGAGCUAUAAGGUCACAAGAACAAUGUUUGUAAUAGAUAUCACCACCUCUAAUACUCAUAACAUGUACACUACAUCGAAUGAAAAGUUUUUUAAAGUAUGAAACAUUACAGAGUAGAUAAAAAUUGUAUGGAGACAGAAUGAGGUACAGAUAGUCCCUGUUACCCUGAUAUAGGAAUUGUACCAAAAAUUCUUUCUUUGAGCCUAAUAUAA